rnacentral:rRNA from 1 species
UACGAAGGGUGCAAACGUUGCUCGGAAUUAUUGGGCGUAAAGCGCACGUAGGCGGCUUGGCAAGUCGGAUGUGAAAUCCCUCGGCUCAACCAAGGAAGUGCAUCCGAAACUGCUGAGCUUGAGUACUUAAGAGGAUCGCGGAAUUCCCGGUGUAGAGGUGAAAUUCGUAGAUAUCAGGAGGAACACCCGUGGCGAAGGCGGCUUUCUAGGAUAUACCUGACACUGAGAAGCGACAGCUAGGGGAGCAAACAGG